rnacentral:tRNA from 2 species
AAUAAAAUGGCUGAUUAAAGGCGAUAAAUUGUAAAUUUAUUUAUGAAAUUUUUUUUCUUUUAUUA